ensembl:piRNA 21ur-9392 ncRNA
UUUCAGAACUUUUUCAUGAGA